rnacentral:rRNA from 1 species
GACGAACGCUGGCGGCGUGCUUAACACAUGCAAGUCGAGCGGUAAGGCCCUUUCGGGGUACGACGAGCGGCGAACGGGUGAGUAACACGUGGGUGACCUGCCCUCAGCUCUGGGAGUAAGACCCGGGAAACGUGGGUCUAAUACCGGAUAUGACUUCAUGACGCAUGUUGUGGAGUGGAAAGCCUUGUGCGGCUGAGGAUGGGCCCGCGGCCUAUCAGCUUGUUGGUGGGGGUGANGGCCUACCAAGGCGACGACGGGUAGCCGGCCUGAGAGGGCGACCGGCCACACUGGGACUGAGAUACGGCCCAGACUCCUACGGGAGGC